GCCCUAUUAGCUCAAUUGGUAGAGCAAUUGAUUUGUAAUCAAUAGGUUAGGGGUUCAACUCCUCUAUAGGGCU
rnacentral:tRNA from 1 species